UAUUCACUGAUCUUCGCAUGGGGGUUGGUGGAAAGGUUUUUUCUGGUGGGGGAUGGGCUCGCGGCCUAUCAGCUUGUUGGUGGGGUGAUGGCCUACCAAGGCUUUGACGGGUAGCCGGCCUGAGAGGGUGACCGGUCACAUUGGGACUGAGAUACGGCCCAGACUCCUACGGGAGGCAGCAGUGGGGAAUAUUGCACAAUGGGCGAAAGCCUGAUGCAGCGACGCCGCGUGAGGGAUGGAGGCCUUCGGGUUGUAAACCUCUUUCGCUCAUGGUCAAGCCGCAACUUAGGGUUGUGGUGAGGGUAGUGGGUAAAGAAGCGCCGGCUAACUACGUGCCAGCAGCCGCGGUAAUACGUAGGGCGCGAGCGUUGUCCGGAAUUAUUGGGCGUAAAGGGCUUGUAGGCGGUUGGUCGCGUCUGCCGUGAAAUCCUCUGGCUUAACUGGGGGCGUGCGGUGGGUACGGGCUGACUUGAGUGCGGUAGGGGAGACUGGAACUCCUGGUGUAGCGGUGGAAUGCGCAGAUAUCAGGAAGAACACCGGUGGCGAAGGCGGGUCUCUGGGCCGUUACUGACGCUGAGGAGCGAAAGCGUGGGGAGCGAACAGGAUUAGAUACCCUGGUAGUCCACGCUGUAAACGUUGGGCACUAGGUGUGGGGGCCACCCGUGGUUUCUGCGCCGUAGCUAACGCUUUAAGUGCCCCGCCUGGGGAGUACGGCCGCAAGGCUAAAACUCAAAGGAAUUGACGGU
rnacentral:rRNA from 1 species